GCCCUCUUAGUUUAGUGGUAGAACGCAAGACUACGAGUUGGUCUCACGCCAGCGUUUCGUUAUCUUGAGGUCGUGGUUUCGAGCACCACAGAGGGUU